UGGGGAAUAUUGCACAAUGGGGGAAACCCUGAUGCAGCGACGCCGCGUGAGCGAAGAAGUAUCUCGGUAUGUAAAGCUCUAUCAGCAGGGAAGAAGAUGACGGUACCUGACUAAGAAGCACCGGCUAAAUACGUGCCAGCAGCCGCGGUAAUACGUAUGGUGCAAGCGUUAUCCGGAUUUACUGGGUGUAAAGGGAGCGUAGACGGAGAAGCAAGUCUGGAGUGAAAACCCGGGGCUCAACCCCGGGACUGCUUUGGAAACUGUUUUUCUAGAGUGCCGGAGAGGUAAGCGGAAUUCCUAGUGUAGCGGUGAAAUGCGUAGAUAUUAGGAGGAACACCAGUGGCGAAGGCGGCUUACUGGACGGUAACUGACGUUGAGGCUCGAAAGCGUGGGGAGCAAACA
rnacentral:rRNA from 1 species